rnacentral:misc_RNA from 1 species
AGUUAUGGAGCAAUGUGAAAGGCAGCAAUAACGCUAGCACAUAAGAAGCAUGAAAAGAUGAUUAGCUGAUGCCCCCCAAGCCAAGGCGGACUCUUCAAUGAGACCCCGAAAAAAAAAGGGGGAAUGGUACUAGUACAAAACUAUUCUUCUCCUCCUUUCCUCAUUAUUCGCAGGAAUACAAAGAAAAAUAGAGAGAGAGAGAGAGAGANNNNNNNNAAAUGAAUGGAAUUAUAUCUGUUGAAAGGCCACCACAAAACAAAUCCAACACUAAUGCUCCCACCACCAUAACUCUUCUCAUCUUUUGGUUUUAUUUUUCUUUUCCUUUAAUUUCCUUCCUUGUUGUGCCUGUUAUAUAC